rnacentral:rRNA from 1 species
GUGGGGAAUCUUAGACAAUGGGGGAAACCCUGAUCUAGCCAUGCCGCGUGAGCGAUGAAGGCCUUAGGGUUGUAAAGCUCUUUCAGCUGGGAAGAUAAUGACGGUACCAGCAGAAGAAGCCCCGGCUAACUCCGUGCCAGCAGCCGCGGUAAUACGGAGGGGGCUAGCGUUGUUCGGAAUUACUGGGCGUAAAGCGCGCGUAGGCGGACCAGAAAGUUGGAGGUGAAAUCCCAGGGCUCAACCUUGGAACUGCCUUCAAAACUCCUGGUCUGGAGUUCGAGGGAGGUGGGUGGAAUUCCGAGUGUAGAGGUGAAAUUCGUAGAUAUUCGGAGGAACACCAGUGGCGAAGGCGGCUCACUGGCUCGAUACUGACGCUGUGGUGCGAAAGCGUGGGGAGCAAACAGGAUUAGAAACCCGGGUAGUCC